rnacentral:lncRNA from 1 species
GCCAAUGGCCCGAAGUUCAACUCAUUUUUCUCUCAACAAACUACAGGUCCAUCCCCAGGUCAAGUCAAUAGCUCAUCAGUUCACACAGCACUAGAGGCAGGACAGAGAGAGUGAACACAGGUAUGACUUCAUGUAAUUUCUUAUUUUAUUAGAAGGGGGAAUACUCUACUAAACAGCGUCAUGCAGUGAAAAGAGCCUAGG